AUUGAACGCUGGCGGCAUGCUUUACACAUGCAAGUCGGACGAGUGGCGAACGGGUGAGUAAUGCAUCGGAACGUACCGAGUAACGGGGGAUAACUGUCCGAAAGAAUAGCUAAUACCGCAUACUAUUCGAGCGGCCGAUGUCUGAUUAGCUGGUUGGCGGGGUAAAGGCCCACCAAGGCGACGAUCCGUAGCGGGUCUGAGAGGAUGACACGCCACACUGGGACUUAGACACGGGCCAGACGCCGACGGGAGGCAGCAGUGGGGAAUGUUGGACAAUGGGGGCAAGCCUGAUCCAGCCAUGCCGCGUGUCUGAAGAAGGCCUUCGGGUUGUAAAGGACUUUUGGCAGGGAAGCGGUACCUGAAGAAUAAGCACCGGCUAACUACGUGCCAGCAGCCGCGGUAAUUC
rnacentral:rRNA from 1 species